GUGGCCUAGUGGUUAGAGCACCCGCCUCGGUUGUGGGAGGUCGUGGGUUCGAUCCCAGGGCGAGUCA